AGUCUGGCCUGCCCAAUGAUUUUUGAAUGGCCGCAGUAUUUUGACUGUGCAAAGGUAGCAUAAUCAUUAGUUUUUUAAUUGAAAGCUGGAAUGAAAGGUUUGAUGAGAAAAUAACUGUCUCUGCGUAAAUGUUUUUGAAUUUCAUUUUUGAGUGAAAAAGCUUAAAUUUUUUAUAAAGACGAGAAGACCCUAUAGAGUUUUAUAUUCAAUUUAUUUUAAUGGUUGAGGAUUUUAUUCUUUUAUUUUUGGUUGAUUAUUUUAUUGGGGCGAUGGAAAAAUUAAUAGAACUUUUUUUUGUUUAUAACAUUGAUUUAUGAAUAAUUGAUCCUUUUUUUUGGAUUAUAAGACUAAAUUACCUUAGGGAUAACAGCGUAAUUUUUUUUGGAGAGUUCUUAUCGAUAAAAGAGUUUGCGACCUCGAUGUUGGAUUAAAAUUAAAUUUUGGUGUAGAAGCUAGAAUUUUAGGUCUGUUCGACCUUUGAAAUUUU
rnacentral:rRNA from 1 species